UACGUAGGUGGCGAGCGUUGUCCGGAUUUACUGGGCGUAAAGAGCGCGCAGGCGGUCGUUCAAGUCGCGUGUGAAAGCCCCCGGCUCAACUGGGGAGGGUCAUUCGAUACUGCUCGACUUGAAGGCAGGAGAGGGAAGUGGAAUUCCCGGUGUAGUGGUGAAAUGCGUAGAUAUCGGGAGGAACACCAGUGGCGAAGGCGACUUCCUGGCCUGUUCUUGACGCUGAGGCGCGAAAGCUGGGGGAGCAAACGGG
rnacentral:rRNA from 1 species